rnacentral:rRNA from 1 species
UACGUAGGGGGCAAGCGUUAAUCGGAAUUACUGGGCGUAAAGCGUGCGCAGGCGGCUUCUCAAGUCAGGGGUGAAAGCCCAGAGCUCAACUCUGGAAUUGCCUUUGAGACUGAGUGGCUUGAGUACGAGAGAGGUGAGUGGAAUUCCCAGUGUAGAGGUGAAAUUCGUAGAUAUUGGGAAGAACACCAGUGGCGAAGGCGGCUCACUGGACCGGUUCUGACGCUGAAGCGCGAAAGCGUGGGGAGCAAACAGG